rnacentral:lncRNA from 1 species
AGAGAGCUGAGAACGGGAGAGGCUGGAAAAAAUCGAGAAUGGAAAGGAAGAAAAAGAAGAAAAGAAAGGAAAGGAAGAAGUUGAUGACUUUUGCAAGUUUGGGUUCUUCAUUUCUUCAAUUUAUGCUUCUUUUAAAGAGGUAUGUUAAUUAAAUUUCUAGGGUUUAUGAACAAUUCAUUUAUAUUCGAAGUCUAGCAAGAAUUAGAGAUUAUUAAUAUGCAUUUGAGGUAUUAAACAAGAGUAUAUCAAGGAAAUUUAUAAAGAAAGAUUGAUGUUGUAGAAAGUGAAAUUUUGAAAAUGGAAAUGGAUACCUAUUCUUUGUUUUUUUGUGAUUAUAUGGUGUCAACCACUUAAUUUAAGGACAUGAGGUUUGAUUUCUCCAUUUUAAGCAAUUUUAAGCUAUUUUGUGCAAUUUUAAUACACAGGUGCUGAUUUGUAAUUUUGCCCAGAAAAGUGCCGUUUCUGUCAAAUGUUUUGGUGAUAAUUUUUAGUGUACAAAAACUGGUUUUACAGUUCCAUAUUCUGGAAUUUUAGUUUUAUUUUUGUCUAACCUUUGAUUGUUUUGAAAUUAUUAGAAAAUAAUUGGUGUAAUUACCUUACUCUAGUGCACUAAGGGGCUAGGUCGUGUACUAGAGUCAUGUAUUUAACUCUUAUAAACUGAGGGGCUACAGCUGCGUAUAAAGAUGAUUAUGUUAUUUUCAUCUUGUACACGGAGGGGCUACGGUCGUGUACUAGUGUCACGUAUUUAACUCCUAUACACUGAGGGGCUACAGCCGUGUAUAAGGAUGAUUAUGUUAUUUCUAUCUUAUACACUGAGGGGCUACGACCGUGUACUAGAGUCAUGAAUUUAGCUCCUAUACACUGAGGGGGCUAUGGCCGUGUACUAGAGUCAUGUAUUUAACUCUUAUACACUGAGGGGCUACAAUCGUGUAUAAGGAUAAUUAUGUUAUUUCCAUCUUGUACACUGAGGGGCUACGACCGUGUACUAGAGUCGUGUAUUUAACUCCUAUACAUUGAGGGGUUACAGUCGUGUAUAAGGAUGAUUAUGUUGUUUCCAUUUUGUGCACUGAGGGGAUACGGCCGUGUACAAAGUAUUGAUCAGACGGUUUAUGUGCAUAUGAUUUUAUAGCUUUCAGACCAUUAGUAGAUGUUUACAUGGAGUAUAUUUUGAUGUGAAUUUUAAGUAUAUAGUGGAUUAUUAGACUUCAGUUUACAUUUCCGCAUUGACAAUUCAGCUUACGAAUUUCAGAAUUUCUACAAGUUUUCGUAGUGCAAGAAUUUUCAGAAUAUAUGCAUAAAAGAAAAAGUAUACUUAUUUGCAGAUUAUUCACUUACUGAGCUAUAAGCUCAUAUUUCUUUUCACAUUUUUCUUUAGCAGAUAGCAGCCGAGUUGAGCAGUAUUAGAACCUGUCGAUCCAUUGAAUUAGGCCACACGUCAUUAGUUGUAUGGCCUACUUUAUCAGAUUAGGUAGUAACAGUUUCUUGGGUUACAUGUAGCUUAUGUUAGAAAAUAUUGUCAUGAGAUCACUACAAGGUAUAUUUAGGCUUUGUUUUAGACACAUUAUUUGAAAAAAAAUGUAUUCUUCAGCAGUGAUUUGACAUCAUUUCAACCACAAAUUCAAUAAAAUAAUAUUAUACACAAAUUCAAAAAUUUUCGUUAUUUUUUAACCACACAUUUCCUAUCAAUACACUAUUCAAAAAUGUAUUUUUAUUCCAAUAAUGUUGCUCAAACAAGGGCUUAGUAUAUUUGAGGAUUGUUGAUAGUAAAGCAAGUAAAUAUUGAAUUGCCAGCAAAUUAUUUGAAUACUUUAGAUUUUGAGGGACUGGUGUACCUUAUUUUACAUUAUAUGUAUUGAUUUGAAGAAAUCGAUUAUGGAUCAGAUGGAUUUAGUCCAUAUUUUAUAGGAGGCUUUGUCAUAAUUUUGUUAAAAAUAUUUUUCAGUCAGGCAAGUCAAAGUUGCCUUAGUGGUGGGUUCGACGUUUAGUUAGUGUCUAUCAUCGGUGCAAGACACGUGUCGAGUCCAUUGAGGUGAUUCGGGACAGGUCGUGUCACUAUCCCCCUACUUCAACUUGGUAUAUAUACAAGAAUUCUUUUCGACUUUUCCAUUUAAAUGACAAAUGUAGUGUACAGAGCAAAUAAGCAUUUAUUUGGACACUAGCCUGCCUCCAAGCUAUUACUUGAGCGUCCAAAACAGUGAGCUCAUUGCUAGCCUGUCACCUGCCCCUUGCUGUCACUCGAUCGAGCAACAGUGCAUCCCGAGAAAUCCUAUUUCACAUUUUUUAAGGCUUUUAACUUGCCUAUACUAUCCAAAACCUCCAAACUAGAAAAUUGUUGGUUGAACAUUGAGAUAAACUUGAAUUCACUUUAUAUACUUCAUAUAACUUGUUCGAUCCUCUCUUGCUUGAGCCAUAUUAUUCAAAACCAUCAAACCCACAUAAACUAAAUACCAGAACACUUAUUUCCAUAAAAUCUAUCAGAGUUUUGAAUAUCAAGGAAGGUUACCUGAGUUCCGAUUGUUAGAGAACGAGGAGUUCUUGAAGAUCCAAAGGAGAUAGAUGAGUUAAGAAGGUCAAGAGUUGGUGCAGGAGCACGCAAUCAAGGAGGUUUUCUUUUUUCCCUUUUUAGAAUAAAGGAGGAAAGAGAACGAAUAAAGUAGAUCCAAAAUCUGCGAGACUCAAGUUCAAGUUCGAAUUAAAUGAAUAAUGAAUAUUAAUAAUAGAGGAAUGGGGGUAGAGUAGAAAAUACAGAUCUAGAGCAAGAAUACAAGACCUUGGUGAUUACAGUUAAGAGGUCAGAAAGCACUAGAGUCGAGUCUGGCAAUACUGUAAGUUGAUUCAUUUAUAUUGGAUUCAUACUGGCUUGAGCUCGGAGAUUUCAAUCCUGCGAGGGGUUUUCUCCAUUAACAAUUUUCCUGUGUCAUUUACUUUUAUGCAAUUUAUUAAAUUGCAAUAAUUCAACAUAGGAUAGUGUGCAUGUGAAUUCAUAUGAAUUAAUUAAUAACUGUGACAUGUUGCAUUUAUUAAUUGAUAAAUUUAAAUUUCGCACAAACAUCUAUUCAUCCCCUCUAGGUGUUAGUUUGGUCGAACUUCAUUAUUUUAGUUUUCCUUUGUUUCUAAGGGCUUAUUGCUUCUGCCACAUUAAAAAAAAUAAAAUAAAUAAAAAUAAAAAUAAAAAUCUUAUCUAUCAUGAUGUUAUUUUUUGUUAUUGUACAUCAUUUUUAAUUACUGCAUAUCAAUUAUGCCCUAAAUGUAUUUACAAUGAAACUUUGGCUACUAAGCAUGAUAGUGGCUGUAAGUUUAUCAGGCUUUAAUUCCUACAUGAGACUCUGCAACGCACUUGCCAAACAUAGUUUUUCAAGUUACCUAGAAAAGUAGCCACUUUGUCCUUUAUAGUCUUAUCUAAAUCUUCUUUUUUCUAUCGGUCAAGUAUCUUUUAAAAAUUAGCAUGCAUAAUUGUUGAGUCGUAAAUUCGGCAUACUGGGGAUUGGGGAGCACAAGGAUGAACAAAUUUUUGAAGUCAAUUGUCUUGGAGAUGUUGUGUAGACAUUUGAAGGGAACUUUUCGGUUGUCAAAAAAACGUCAUUUCUAAAAGUUUAAAAUGAUGAAUUUAAUUUUUUUACCAAAGGUCCGACAUGUUCUCAAUUUUCAUAAAGAGAUAACGGCCUUGAAUACAAGACCUACUCUUGCUCUGUUAUUAGGUUGUACUAUCUUGUAGCUAAAGCUAAUGAAGAAGGGAUUUAUUUAUUUAUUUAGUUUAUUGUUCAACAGUUUCUUAUUAUAUAAUUAAUUUGAUCUUUUUGUUGCACACUUCAAUUAUUCUAGAAUCAAGAAUUUGUGAAACACAGUGCCAAUCCUCAAGGGCAAUCCCAAUGAAGGCCCAAUCCACCCCCAAUUAAAAAUAUGUCAGCAGUAGCCCAGGCCCAAGUUAAAAGAAAUUUUUUUUUUUUUUAAAUUGGCCAAAAAAUUGGCCCAAUUUUAUUAACCCAUAUAAUUUAAAGGUUGAGGCUUGACCUUGAAUUGUAGAAUAUCCGUCCCUGCUGCUUGCUUCGACUUCCACCUGAGGACAGAGGACCUCGGUUUCCGCCUUCCAAUUCACGUAUGACUGUCUCUCUCUCUCUCUCUGUGUGCUGACUGCCAUGCUAUAUAUUAUAUACACACUUCAUGCCUCAAAAGUCAAAGUUAAUUUUAUCUCUUUCUAGCAUCAAUCUAUGAAAUGUGGUAUGGAAUUUGAGUUACAAAACUUAUUUAGUUAUUCUCCAAUUCAUUUUAUGUAGCAAUUAGAAAUGCAAUUUGUUUUGUUUUCUUCUAUUUUACAAAUUCUCCAAUUCAUUAUAUGUAUUACUUAAUUU